rnacentral:tRNA from 1 species
AGAGAUAUAACUGUUAGUUCUGCUAAAACUAAACCCCGGCACCCAUUCAACCGGUAUCUCU